GCCGGGGUGGCCGAGCCAGGUCCAAGGCGCGGGCCUGGAGAUUCCGCAGGGAACCUUAAAGUCCGUCCCCGCAAGGGGGCCCGGGUUCAAAUCCCGGCCCCGGCA
rnacentral:tRNA from 1 species